rnacentral:rRNA from 1 species
GACGGAGGGGGCAAGCGUUUUCCGGAAUCACUGGGCGUAAAGCGCACGUAGGCUGGACGGUGCUUCGGUGCUGAAAGCGCCAGGCUUAACCUGGCGAGGCGUGCCGAUACGACCGACCUCGAGGCAGACAGAGGGUGGCGGAAUUCCGGGUGUAGUGGUGAAAUGCGUAGAGAUCCGGAGGAACGCCGGUGGCGAAAGCGGCCACCUGGGUCUGACCUGACGCUGAGGUGCGAAAGCGUGGGGAGCAAACCGG